GCAGCAGUGGGGAAUAUUGCACAAUGGGGGAAACCCUGAUGCAGCCAUGCCGCGUGUGUGAAGAAGGCCUUCGGGUUGUAAAGCACUUUCAGCGAGGAGGAAAGGUUGGUAGCUAAUAACUGCCAACUGUGACGUUACUCGCAGAAGAAGCACCGGCUAACUCCGUGCCAGCAGCCGCGGUAAUACGGAGGGUGCAAGCGUUAAUCGGAAUUACUGGGCGUAAAGCGCACGCAGGCGGUUGGAUAAGUUAGAUGUGAAAGCCCCGGGCUCAACCUGGGAAUUGCAUUUAAAACUGUCCAGCUAGAGUCUUGUAGAGGGGGGUAGAAUUCCAGGUGUAGCGGUGAAAUGCGUAGAGAUCUGGAGGAAUACCGGUGG
rnacentral:rRNA from 1 species